rnacentral:rRNA from 1 species
CCUACGGGCGGCAGCAGUGAGGAAUAUUGGUCAAUGGGCGCGAGCCUGAACCAGCCAAGUAGCGUGAAGGAUGACUGCCCUACGGGUUGUAAACUUCUUUUACAAAGGAAUAAAGUGAGGCUCGUGUGCCUUUUUGUAUGUACUUUAUGAAUAAGGAUCGCCUAACUCCGUGCCAGCCGCGGUAAUACGGAGGAUCCGAGCGUUAUCCGGAUUUAUGGGGUUUAAAGGGAGCGUAGAUGGGUUGUUAAGUCAGUUGUGAAAGUUUGCGGCUCAACCGUAAAAUUGCAAUUGAGACUGGCAGCCUUGAGUACUGGUGAGGUAGGCGGAAUUCGUGGUGUAGCGGUGAAAUGCUUAGAUAUCACGAAGAACUCCGAUUGCGAAGGCAGCCUACUAAACUGCCACUGACAUUGAUGCUCGAAAGUGUGGGUAGCAAACAGGAUUAGAUACCCUUGUAGUC